CCACGUUACACCUUGGACACAGUCCUGGGUGGGGAGAAGCGUGCUGUGGGUGCCAGAGAGUUGGUGAUCAGCCAUGCCAGAACCUAGUCUUGGAAUGGACAGACGUGGAGGUGGCAUUAUGGAGGAGCCCCUGGAUUCCAGGUGCACAGGAAAAUGGAACUCUUGGCUGAUCUUAUUGUGAAGAUUAAGUGCACGCUGGUUGAAUAGAAGAGAAAUCCUACCUCGGGCAGACAAUGGGGUUUUAAAUGCCUCUCAGCAGCUGCUCACACACUAAAUGGUGUCCAUCAGGAUUGGACAACUGGAUGAAAUGAACAAUACCCACAUAAAUGAUGAAGAUGGUGACUACAUGGCCCUCCGGCGUGAUGACUCAACUAAUGGAAACAGCAAAUAUGUGAUUCUUCUGUCUGACUACAUUACUGGUGCUAACCGAGUAUGACGAUUCAUGCUCUUCUGGUUGGUCAUAUUCUCAGCCUGCCAAAAGGGGGGAAUUGUUAAAAUCAAAGAAAUAGACUGACCUUGAAAAUUCUCUGAGCAGACAAAACCAGUUUAGUCUUUGAAGCAAAGCUUAACUUAACACAUUUUGCAAGACGGUCUUGACAUGGGCCAUUUCUUGCUUAUGCUUCUGGAAAUCAAAAGCAAAGCUUAAACUGCUUCUCCAGGUUGAUAUGAGGUAGCCCCUGAUCAGUUCCCUAUCAUUUAAGAAAAUUCUAAUAUUCUAACCAAUCACCAUGAAGAAUAAAGUCACCGGUUUCUCUUC